rnacentral:rRNA from 1 species
AUUGAACGCUGGCGGAAUGCUUUACACAUGCAAGUCGAACGGUAGAGGGGGCAACCCCUUGAGAGUGGCGAACGGGUGAGUAAUAUAUCGGAACGUGCCCAGUCGUGGGGAUAACGUAGCGAAAGUUACGCUAAUACCGCAUACGAUCUACGGAUGAAAGCGGGGGACUCGCAAGAGCCUCGCGCGAUUGGAGCGGCCGAUAUCAGAUUAGGUAGUUGGUGGGGUAAAGGCUCACCAAGCCAACGAUCUGUAGCUGGUCUGAGAGGACGACCAGCCACACUGGAACUGAGACACGGUCCAGACUCCUACGGGAGGCAGCAGUGGGGAAUUUUGGACAAUGGGCGCAAGCCUGAUCCAGCAAUGCCGCGUGCAGGAUGAAGGCCUUCGGUU